rnacentral:lncRNA from 1 species
GUUAAUUGGCUUCAUUCCAUUUGGGUUAUAUUGAAGAAUCUGAGUAGGGACAAGUGGACUCAUACUAUGGUCUGUACAGCCUUUUCUGCUCUAAUGUCGAGGGGAAAGUUUUCAUUUUAUCAAAAAGCCCAGUUUACUUUUCUGAUGGAAUGCUCACCACAGAGUUGUAAAUAUCAUUUUGAACUGGUUUCUUCUACACAGCUUUAAUAUUUUUGACAAUAGUAAAGUUGGAACACUUCUUGAAACAUAAUAGGUUAGUGGUUCCGUGUCUUAAUUAUACCCUCCCCCCCCCCCAGGAGAGAGUGCUCUUCUUUUUCUCUAAAAGAAUUUUGCCUAUAUAAAAGCAUUAUAUUAAAUAAAUUGGCAUUAACGUGGGUGCUGUUGUGUUAGUAAAUUAAUGGAGAAACAGUCAUACUAAUUCUGUGUUAGCACAAAAUAGGCAGGGAAAACCUGUGAAGUUCUUGUUCUCUGAGUCAGAGCUGGGUGGGUACCACUGUGCUGGUACUGAAAGGCGUGGGGCAGGAAAGUGAGUGUGCUGCUGAUGGAUUCGUCCUGGUAACCAGUAAGUUAAGCAAGGCUUUACAGUUUGUAAAACUUCAGCUGAAAUGGACACUUCUUGUUAACUGAAAUCUCUACAGGAGUCUUAGUCGCCAACUAUGAGGAAAUAAAAUCUGUUCACUCUCAUUUUGUAUUUCCUGAAAGUAUUUUCAUGUGUACUUGUGGUCUUGCAAGUACAGUUUUUCUAUCCCUGCUGAGGACCGCUUUCUCAAUCAGAUCCUUAAAGCUCAAAUUUUGUGUAGCUCAGUUAGUCACUGAAAUACAGUUGAUUUGGCUAAAGGGCAAAUGUGUACAUUUGCCUAAAAGGCCUUUAAAAAAUUAAAAGCCAGGAGGGUUAUCUUCAAGUAAUGGUUUGAAAGAAUAAACAGAUGAUGGUGUUGAGAGACAAUGCUCAUUUUAAAAGUUGACCUUACACUUGGGUCACCAUGUUAUCUACUGACCUGCUGUCAUAACUGCAUUCUGACCUGGCAGGAAUUAUUUUCUUGGGGGCCAGAAAGUAAAAUUUAGUGGUCUGACUUGCCUAAUAGUUCCUAGGCAGGGUUGUUCACUUACAUGCGCAAUUAGUAAUGAUUGUGCAUUACUAAAAUUUCUCAAGGUCUUUUAUUACAAGUCACUCAUUCCCCUUUUUGCUAGUGUGAAGUUGGUUUGUAUGUAUGUAGGUGAGACUGCAGAGGAAUGGAUGUCCCUGGUCAUGACAUGACACUGUGUAUGUCUCUAGAGCCCAGUUUUGUCUAGCUGCUGCCCUCUUGUCGUUUACUUUCUGUCAGGUUGCAAAUUUGCACACAUGAAUGAUCCCUCAGGAACAGUUUGCACACUCCUCACCUCAGUAUACUCUGUAUAGACCAAACAGCAUUAAAGGUUAUCAGCACAAGAGGCUUCCUACACCUACUAGCAGAGGCCAUGGUGAGCUUGCAGACAAAACUGGUUUCUGCAGGUAAUGGGAAGAGGAGCACAUACAGAGUUUGUUUAAGUGACCUCCCACUUCUCCCUAUAACCAGAGUAAGAAACCUUCCAGAUUUUGUUGGCUUAUUAGAACUAUGGUUUUUUGUUUGUUUUUGUUUUUUUCUUCUUUUCUGCUUCCCCUCUCUCACAGUAAUUAUUUCUAUGGUUAGUAUGUAGGGGAAUUGCCCUUGAGCUAAGAUUCAACUGUUCAUUAAGCAGCUAUCAUUAAACUAAGCAUUAUGCAAUGAAUAUGCACUAAUCUGAGAUAAGAAACAACUAAAAAAGAAAAAAACAAACCGUGCAUUAGCUAUUCAUCUGUUAGAGUUUGUUUUUUAAUGGUAUAUUCUUGAGCUUUUAGCUUGGAAUAUUGUUUGCUUUUAUCCAAGUAUAGGUUUCUUAGGGGGAUGUUAAAAUUCAAGGUUGGAAUGUGACACCCUUAACUGACAUCUGAAGUAUCAACUUUUUCUGUUGAUGACUGCUUUUAGUAUAAUACUGUGCAAAAUGUUCAUUUUUACCAGAAUUUCAAGCAGAAAUCAUAGGGAAAUCUUAGAGAAAUGGCUCUGUUGUGCUUUUAUUACCACAUGGAAAUUUUCCUUGGCUUCUGACCCCAAGAAUAUUUGGAAGGAGGUGUUUGUUCUUUCCCAAAGGAAAUGCUCCCUCUCUGGUCCCCUGCUGCUUAGCUGCAGUCACUGCCUCAUCCCUCCUGCACUAUUGAAGACCUUAAACCUCCUUCCAGAGUCAGUGAUGGGUCUGCCCCCUUCGUGCAGGACCAAUCUCUCUGCCUUGAAGAUCUUUUAGGCUUGGUCUGCUGGAUUACACCUCUUGGAAGGUUGUCAGCAUGGCUCUUGGGUUAAGAGUUGAGUGACUUGUAAAACAAAACAAAACAAAACCCUUUGUAUUGAUUGUGACUACUAAACUCAGUAAGACUGGGUGUUCUCCUCAAGGUGGUGAUGCUGUUGGUUCUUUUUAGUCUUAUAUGUUAAUGUUACAGCCAUGGAUAUUCAGAGAAAUUAUUUGAACAUCAAGUCCUGGGAAAUUGGCUCAAAUAAAUGCUUAUACAAAAUUUGGAGAUCAUGUGCAGGCUAAAGGAGUUUGCCACCCACCAGCAUAGCAGAGCAAAUGAAGCAUUGCUGUCUUUUUUCCUGACAUUUGUCAUCUGGCACUGUCCUUUACUACUUAUUUGCUGAACGUGACUAAAGCGCUUCCUGAGCUGGGGUACAAAGCUGCUGGCCUGGGCUCUCUCCUUAUAAACAUAUGGUAGAUUUUGAAUCGCUCCUCUGUAUUAGUUGUAUAUUCUCACUCUAAAGUAUUGUGGUUAAUGAAAAAUAAAUCUUGUACAGAUG